UAGCUCAGUUGGUUAGAGCGUGGUGCUGAUAACACCAAGGUUGUGGGUUCAAUCCCCAU
rnacentral:tRNA from 1 species